UAGUAUAUGGAAUUUACCAAUUCUAUAAACACCACCUGUGUAUCUUGCAACUGUUGCUUCCAUGGGACAUGGACCUCUGUCCACAUCGGCCCAAAAUGCUGCUGAGCGCCCAUGGGAGGAGACACCAAUCCCUCCUUUUGCAUUGAAGUUUGUCUGAAAAUGUAACCACAAACGUUA
rnacentral:misc_RNA from 1 species